UGCUGGGAAUGGAGCCCUGGGCUUUUCGUACUGGACUAGUGCUCAGCAUUUAAGCAUCAGCCCUGUUCCUUGUGUGUUUUGAAGCUUUGAAACUUACCCUGUAGUUAUGAGCUCUCUUGGGCUGUGGCUCAUGUCUUUCCAGGCCCAGAUCCCAAGUCCCUGUCUUCAUUUCAUAUCUUCCUGUCCUGGGCUCUCUCCCAUCUCAGGCAUUCUCAGGUAGUAGCUGUCUGACAUGACUGGGCAUUCAGAGUCAUCUUCCUCCUCCCCCAGCUCCCAGCCCGCUUCAGUGCUUGAUUUCUAUCCAGUGUGGUGCAAGGUUGCCCAUAUCUGGAGAUUCCUAGGUCCUUGUACCACCAAGGGCAGACCAGGCUGCAGAGCUCUACUCUGUACAGUUCAGGUGAGGUACACCCUGCUCAUAUGUAAGAAACCAUCCUCAGCUGUGGUCCAGCUCUGUAACCUGCAGGCUCUCGUUGCCAUGGAGAUCUCAUGGAUCAUGAAGGACCGGCAGCUCUCACAGCCCUUCUGUAGAACUUCUGUAGCUCAUGGCUUUGAGAAAUCCCCUUGCACUGCUUCUCUCCUGGGAGAGAGACAGCCUGGAACCAAGAUCUCCCACCCUCGCUCUGUGUUCUGUUUCGGGAGUCCCUCAACACUGGACAGAAGAAAAGGACAGGACUGUGCCACUGGUGUGCUCCCUGAUGUAUCCUCUGAGCAGCUUGGUGUUCGAAAAGCCUGCCGUCGCACCGUCUGUCUUUGUGUUUCAAAAGGACAAAGGACAGAAGUCCUCCACAGAGCACAGAGACUUGCCGGAGUCGGGAGAGGAGCCUCGGGGGGAGGCCGAGGCGCCCUGCCCUGAUACAGGGUACCCCGAAUCCAUUGGGGAGCAUGCCUUAGACCCUUCCGCCCCUGCUAGCGCUUCCACCAGCUCUCUUCCACCCCCUGCUCCUGCAGCCCAGCCUCCUUGUGUGCGAGAACUGGCAGGGAGAUCUGCUGGCAGCUCCAGUCCCGAAGCCGGAGAAGAUUCUGACCAUGAGGAUGGAAACUACUGCCCCCCUGUCAAGCGUGAGCGGACAUCCUCUCUAACUCACUCAGAAGAGAAGAGCAGCGGCUUCCGGCUGAAGCCCCCAACACUCAUCCACGGUCAGGCACCCAGUGCAGGUCUGCCCAGCCAGAAACCCAGGGAACAGCAGCGUGGUGUGCUCCGUCCAGCUGUGCUGCAGGCCCCUCAGCCCAAGGUGCUGUCGCAGACGGUUCCCAGCAGUGGCACCAAUGGAGUCAGUAUGCCAGCAGACUGCACGGGGCCAGCAACGUCUGUAUCACCAGAAAACCUCACGCAGAGGAGUCCCUCUGAGUCUGCCGAGGAGACACACACACUCGAGGAGAAGGUGCCUCAGAAAACCCCACAUGGCACCUCAGAGGAGGGGCACUGUGAAGAGGAGCAGGCGGCCCCACAGGCCUUUGUGUUUGGACAGAACUUGAGAGACAGAGUGAAGUUAAUGAAUGAGAAUGCCAGCGUGGCAGAUGUAGACAGUGCUGCACAUCCCAGCUCAGAAACACCCUCUGCGACCAACUACUUCCUUCAGUACAUCAGUUCCAGCGCAGACAACGCGACCCACAGUGCUGACAACUCCACCAAGUUUGUGUUUGGCCAGAACAUGAGUGAGCGCGUCUUGAGCCCCCCAAAGCUGAAUGAAGCCAAUUCAGACACCAGCAGGGAGACUACACAUGCCCAGUCAGGUUCUGAGUCGUCAUCCCAGGAGGCCGCCCCCAAGAAAGAGUCCCUGGCAGAGUCAGCCGCUGCCUAUACAAAGGCUACAGCGUGGACGUGUUUGCUGGAGAAGGUGGAGGUCAUCACGGGGGAGGAGGCAGAGAGCAAUGUGCUGCAGAUCCAGUGUAAGCUGUUUGUGUUCGAUAAGACCUCACAGUCAUGGGUGGAGCGUGGCCGGGGACUUCUCAGGCUCAAUGACAUGGCGUCAACCGACGAUGGCACAUUACAGUCCCGGCUAGGCUAGCCCCUUCCCCAAGGGCAUGUCUCCCCUGCCCCUUGCAGACGUGGGCUGCAGGUUGGGGCAGGUGUUGCUAAGCAGCUCCCUUGCUGCAGUGAUGCGGACCCAGGGCAGCCUGCGGCUCAUCCUGAACACGAAGCUGUGGGCACAGAUGCAGAUGGAUAAGGCCAGUGAAAAGAGCAUCCGCAUCACAGCCACCGACGCUGAGGACCAGGGUGUCAAGGUUUUCCUGAUCUCGGCCAGCUCCAAAGACACAGGCCAACUGUAUGCUGCACUGCACCACCGCAUCCUGGCUCUGCGUAGCCGGGCUGAACAGGAACAGGAGGCCAAGGCGCCCCCACCUGAGCCAGGAGCCACCCGGGCCACCGAGGAGGAAGACAGUGAUGAGGAUGCUGUUCUGGCUCCCUCCGGUGUCACGGGGGCUGGCACAGGUGAUGAAGGAGAUGGCCAGGCUCCUGGGAGCACAUAGCGGCGGAGCCACUGCACCAGGCUGCUGCUUUGUUGUCUGUCUGCUGCCCGUCCCUCCCUGCAGGCCGCAUCAUGGUGGUGUCUAUUGCCGGGGUGGCCACAGGCUGGAUCCGAGUGUCCCCUCUGCAGCAGACGGGGACGCCAGGAUGCGGCUUGGGACUCAGACCUCAUCAUAUUGAUGAGUAGAAAGAACGUUCCCCCGCCCUCCUCCGAUCGAAAUGGCACAUUGACACUUGUCACAGCUUCGUGGUGACCGUCCAUCCCUGGGCAGCAACAAAGAGAACUCCAGGCUCAGCAUUCUGUUGAGUAACUUGCUACCUGCUCGGCUUUCCACUCUGCCAGGUCCACAUGGCAGGUGCCUCUCCUUCAUUUCUGGUGGCUUGGCUCUUGAGGUCACAGAUGAAGCUACACGUGGGCUGAGCUGACUUGAUGCUCCUAUGGGUGGUGCCCGGCCCCCACGGGGGUUCACUAGGUUUGGGCCUGAGAACACCUGUCUGGACAAAGGUGAUGAAACCAAGAGAGCUCCUGCCUUCUUGCCUGCCUACGUGAACCACCUGGGUCUCCCUUAGCAGGUACCCAGCCCUGAGGUGACUGACCACCUAGGGCCCCUGAGAGGCAAAGGGAACCUGCAAAGGGCCUGUCCCCGGGCAGAAGAUGAAGCCCCUACCCGUGGACUGUGUGGUUCCAUCUCUGGCCAGGCCACUUCCAGCCAGCAAGGACACCAGAGGCUGCCUUAGCAGAUGGGUCACACUGCUUCCAGCCUUAGCCAGCCAGUGACAAGUGAAUCCAGACGUCACCCAUGUGUUUUGGAACAUUUAUGUAAGAUUGAAAUGUAUUUGAGAACUGCAUUAAAACUUUUAACUAAA